CUCAAUUUAUUCCCUAUAUUAUUUACAAUUUUAUCUUUCCUUUCCUUCUUCCUCCAAUACAUAAAACCAAUUGAAAAAUGAAAGAAAAAACCUCAGCUACACAACUGAACUGAAAAAAAAAAAAAACUGAAAAACCGAACCGACGACGAACAAAAACCAGACAGACGACGACGGAUAGAUAGAUACUUGAAAAAAGAAAAAGAAAAAUUUCAAAAUUUUUCUUUUUUUUUUUCUUUACAAUCUCAAAAUAAAACAAAAAAAAAAACAACAAAAUACCCAGUUAACUUUUUACAACAAAAUUGUAUAAAGAAUUUAUAUAAAAUCGAAUUGAUUUUACAUCGGAAUUCGCUUCUUUGAAUCUGUGUCAAAUUAAAAAAAAGAACGGGAAACUAAAGUAAAAAAA